AAACCAGCACCUCAAGUGGUCAGGAUGAUUAUUGGGCCUAAAGCAUCCGUAGCCUGCUUUGUCAGUUUUCGGUUAAAUCCAUACGCUCAACGUAUGGGCUGCCGGAAAUACUGCAAAGCUAGGGAGUGGGAGAGGUAGACGGUACUCGGGAGGAAGGGGUAAAAUCCUUUGAUCUAUUGAUGACCACCCGUGGCGAAGGCGGUCUACCAGAACACGUCCGACGGUGAGGGAUGAAAGCUGGGGGAGCAAACCGGAUUAGAAACCCCAGUAGUCC
rnacentral:rRNA from 1 species